AAACUCUAUUGCGGAUUACCAGUGAACUGAAAGCAUUUGCAGUUAAAUUUUUCAGCUGAAUGAGUAAUCAGUUCCUGGUGAAGGUGAAAGUUCAUUCAGAAGUAAACCCUUUAGACUCCAACAGAAGGCUGUUACCUGCCUGAGUGCUGGAGCAUCUGUACUACCUCUCCAAGGAGACUGACCAUUCCAAUAUUGUGGGAACUGAGGGUUUCUUGGGACUCAAGGCCUUCAGUGCUGAAAUGGAGUUAAUCUUAGGUAAGCUACUAAAUAACUUUCUGAGAAAAGUCCUGGCUUUGUAGCAAAGUGAUCAGAA
rnacentral:lncRNA from 1 species